rnacentral:rRNA from 1 species
UGAAACAGUGCUUACCCGUAGGGGGAGCUUGCUCCUGGGUUCUUCGGCGGACGGGUGAGUAAUGCCUAGGAAUCUGCCUGGUGAUGGGGGAUAACGUUCCGAAAGGAACGCUAAUACCGCGUACUUCCUACGGGAGAAAGGGGGGGACCUUCGGGCCUUGCUCUAUCAAAUGACCCUAGGUCGGAUUAGCUAGUUGGUGAGGUAAUGGCUCACCAAGGCGACAAUCCGUAACUGGUCUGAGAGGAUGAUCCCUCACCCUGGAACUGAGACACGGUCCAGACUCCUACGGGAGGCAGCAGUGGGGAAUAUUGUACAAUGGGCGAAAGCCUGAUCCACCCAUGCCCCGUGUGUGAAGAGAGUCUCUUGAUUGUAAAGCACUUUAAGUUGGGAGGAAGAGCUGUAGGCUAAUAUCCUGCAGUAUAGACGUUACCAACAUAAUAAGCACCGGCUAACUUCAUGCCAGCGGCCGCGGUAAUACGAAGAGUGCAAGCGUUAAUAGGAAUUACUGGGCGUAAAGCGCGCGUAUGUGGUUCGUUAAAUUGUAUGUGAAAGCCCCGGGCUCAACCUGGGAACUGCAUCCAAAACUGGGGAGCUACAGUACUUGUAGAGGGUAGUGGAAAUUCCUGUGUAGUGGUGAAUACACAGAUAUACGAAGGAACACUGUGGGCAAUGCUACUCCUGGACUGAUACUGAUACUGAGUGCCAAGCUUGGGGAGCAACAGGAUUA